rnacentral:rRNA from 1 species
GGAGGACCUUGGGGAUCGAAAGACCUUGUGCUUUUAGAGCGGCCGCUGCCUGAUUAGCUAGUUGGUAAGGUAAAGGCUUACCAAGGCAACGAUCAGUAGCUGGUCUGAGAGGACGACCAGCCACACUGGGACUGAGACACGGCCCAGACUCCUACGGGAGGCAGCAGUGGGGAAUUUUGGACAAUGGGCGCAAGCCUGAUCCAGCCAUGCCGCGUGAGUGAAGAAGGCCUUCGGGUUGUAAAGCUCUUUCGGUCGGGAAGAAAUAGUUGUGGCUAAUAUCCAUAACGAAUGACGGUACCGACAUAAGAAGCACCGGCUAACUACGUGCCAGCAGCCGCGGUAAUACGUAGGGUGCAAGCGUUAAUCGGAAUUAUUGGGCGUAAAGGGUGCGCAGGCGGAUGUAUAAGUCAGAUGUGAAAUCCCCGGGCUUAACCUGGGAAUUGCGUUUGAAACUACAAAGCUAGAAGGG